GAGAGAGCAGCGCUUGGGAGCUGGUUGCCCAGCACCAGUGUGCGUAGAAGGCAUUUGCGCAUUUCACUUUUGUUUUCUUUGACUGCCAUUUCUAAAAACGGUCUCUGUACUCUUUGGGGAUUUUAGGCACUCAAGUUAUUCUUUUAAAAGAUUUCUGCUGACAUCCACGGGUCCUAUAAUUAACAUAUCAAGCCGCCAAAGGCCGGAAGUGUUCUGUCACCCCUAAAAAUACAGAACCCCUUCCUGAUCUUCCUCCAGUCUUGUUUUAGGAACCAUCAGACCACAUCCCACUCCUUCCACUCCGUUCUCUCUUGACAGAAUACAUCCACACCUCAGAUGUGAACGUUCAAGCCUUUUUCUUUUAUAAUUUUCCAAGUAAUGAACUCUACCCUCUAGGUUGGGGCCUGUGACAAGACAGACUUUAUCUGCCUUUUGUCCUGAACAGUCUCUCCCUGGCGCAUGCAGUCCCACACCCGCUGUUCCCACGCCUCCCCAAUCUUCAGGCCACCUCAUGUCCCAGCAGAUGUGUCAUCGGCAAGGAGACAUAUUUCACAGCCUCAAGAAGAGAUGUGGCCAUCCUCCGUUUACCUGACUGUUCAGAUCUAGCGCAUAUGCGCAAUUACUUCCUCAUGGGGAGCAUGCGCAGUUACUUCCUCACAGAGCGCAAUUGCACGAACCAAACUGCGGUACUUGUGAACAGAUCUCUGGGUCUUCAGUCUCACAGACUCCACCGUCAGUUUCCACAAUAUUCUCCAGUGGAUCAAUGCCCAGGUUGGACUUUUGUCAGGAAUGAUUUAUCGAAGAGAUACAUUUCCAUCAGAAUCUUCCUGAAGCAAUCAUCUCGGGGACGUAUGCUUAUUGGAUCUCAUUAUAAGUCCACAGCUUUGCUGCCAAGAUAUUAAGUAGUACCACACCUUUGAAAGCCACUUAUGGCUGUUCAUAAUGCAGCAGAGGUGGCUCAUUUCCCAGACCAGAUGUGAGGACUAGCUGAAUGCAGAGGGGACACAGAGGGGACGCAGAGGAUCGGUCACCUCCCCAGUGAAGGUGGUUUAUAUAACGUUGACCAAGGAAACUAAGCAGCGCAGACCUCCACAGUGAGAACUCAAAGACACUGAAACAAUUGACAGAGAUAUCAGAAGAUGGCGAGACCUCUGUUCUCAUCAACUGGAAGAAUUAAUGGAUGGUGAAAAUUAAUUACCAAACAAUCUGCAGAGAUUUAAUACAAGCCUAAUUGAAUUUUGAUUUAGUCAAAAUCCCCUGGCAUUUUUCACAUAUAUAGUAUUUUUUAUAAAUGUAUAUGGGAUCAGAAAAGACCAAAGCAAUCCUGGGAUUGCUGUUAGCAUUUCUGAUGCCAUGUUAUACCACCAGAGCCAUAGUAGCAACAGCAUGGUGCAGACUCAGAAACAGGCAUAUGGUAGAAGGAAGGACCCGGAUGUAAGUCCACACAACUACAGUGCCUUCACAACGUCAAAAAAUGUACAUUAAAGAACAGGCAAUAUCUUCAACAGAGAGUUCUGGAGAACCUGGCUAUCAACACGCAGAAAAAUGAAAUCAAAUCUGUAUCUCUCACCUUGUACAAAACUCAACCCCAAAGGUAUGACCUCAACGUAAGAGCAGCUAGUCUCAAAUAUUUACCUUCAGAUGGCAGAUCUUAUAGAUAGCAUAUUUCUGUAUUCUAUUGUUGUGUGUUUUCCAGUGGUAUGUGUAAAGGCAGGGACUUCAGGUAAAAACCCGU
rnacentral:lncRNA from 1 species